GGGGGGCUGCGGGAUCUCUGCCCCCACCCCUCCCGCCUCGGUCCCGGGAGUCUCUAGACCCCACCGUCCAGACGCCCCCCUUAGGCUCCCGCACCGAGCCCCAGUCCAGGAGCGGCGCUCAGUGGCCCCCAAUAGAGCCCAGCCCCUUCCAGCGCUCAAACUCUUUUGUUUUAAAUGAACUGGAUGGAGCAGCAUGGAACUGACGGGAGGGGGGCGCGCCGGGGGCGCCCGGGGCAUGCCGGGAGUUGUAGUUCCCGCCCUCGGGGGCGCGGGGACGAAUUCCUUGACCCGAGGAAGACAGGGAUGUGCCUUCGGUCUUUACGCUCUGCUGGGAGGCGAAGCCGGGGGUGGGAAGGCAGUCGAGGUCCCUCAUUUUUAAAGAGGAAAGGAGUCAGUGUACAGAAACGGAACGGGUUGAAAACAGGCUAAUGGAGUGUGCCCCCCUCCCAAAACGGGCUCCUUCGCGAUCCCGGCCAGUCUUAGGUCCCUCUUUCUUAUGGUAAUGAGGCGGGGGGAGAGGGCGGGGAGCUGUCCCGGCUGGGCCACUGCGGCUUUCUCUGGCUUUCUCUCUCCUCUUCCCCCUCCCUGCCGCGCUCCCUCUCCGCUCUCCGCUCCCCCCUCCCGUUCUCCCAGAGUCGAUCCCGGCUCCGGGCCGCGGGCAGAGGUUCUCCGCAGAGCAGACAAAGCCCGCAGCGGCGAUGCGUGGAGAACACGGCUCUGCGCGCUGGGGGGAGGGGGUGGGGGGCCGGGAUGGGGUGCCGGGUUGGAGGGUGGGACCCCCUGGCAAAAGACGGGGUCCCCUCUUCCCCAAGCGGCAAGCCAUCCCCCUUCCUCCCUUCCCUCCCCCCAGUCUCGGAGAUCAGAGAAGCACCGACUGGGAGCGGAAGAUCCAGGGAAGGAAACCAUGACAGAGAAACACUGGAAGGCCCCAGAAUUGGGGAUGAGAUGCCCUCUGGAUCAAAGAUUAAACAAAAUUAGCAACAAACCUUUUUUUGGGGAUUAAGUGCUCCCACCUCUAAGCAAGAGUGAGAGAGGAAGAAUUGGAGAGAUGAGACCUUUGGCUGUUCCCUGCUCUUGUCCACUCUCCUACCCCAGGAACCCAGGCUGGGGGACCUGGGAGCCGUGGGGGAAGCUUCCCGCUCUGUGGACAGGUGACUGUUUUGCACAUUAUCAGAAAUCGCAGACACUUGUGUAGGUCUGACCGUGUGCCAGGCAUUUUUGUCACCAGCUGGUCGAAGCCUUCCUGUCCCCACCAAAAUGAGAUUCCCCCUAGACACCCAUUCCUGAAUUUUCCCUGCUUCCACUUUCCUCCCCACUAAGCUAAUUAAAGCAGGAGGUUAAUGAUCAAAGAAGCCUUGGGGAUUUGGCCAGGGAGGAAAACAAAGAACAGAAACAAGUGUAAGUGAGCGGGGAGGAGGCAGCUGCUGAAUGCAAAGAGGCAGACUAAAGAGGGGGUAGAGGAAGGGGCAGUCCCUGCUGGACCCCCUCUCACUGAUCCAGCAAGGACUAAUCAGCCCCCCGGGGUGUAUUCAUGAGCCAUGGGUCCACCCUCAGGCUCCCAUUGACUCCAAAUAUCCAAGGCAAGAGAGGCACUUGGCACCUGGAGGGCAGGCUGUGUGUGAACGCACUUAGGUCUGGGGCAUGGGUGUACACAGAGGUGUGUGCCUCCAAAUUGUGUGGGGGACCUGCCAGAGUGCAGCAGAGGGGGUGGGGCGUGCACCUUGAGAGGGGAGGGCUUUUUCAUUGUUACUGUUUGGCUGAAGGGCUUGUGAGAUCUUAGUUCCCUGACCAGGGCUCAAACCUGUGCCCUUGACAGUGAAAACUCAAGUCCUAAACCACUGGACUGCCAGGGGGUUCCCUAUUCUGAAGUCUUUAAAUAACUUAUUUGAUGAGUCCUUUGAAAUGGCAACCCACUCCAGUAUUCUUGCCUGGAGAAGUCCAUGGACUGAGAANNNNNNNNNNNNNNNNNNNNNNNNNNNNNNNNNNNNNNNNNNNNNNNNNNNNNNNNNNNNNNNNNNNNNNNNNNNNNNNNNNNNNNNNNNNNNNNNNNNCCACUCCAGUAUUCUUGCCUGGAGAAGUCCAUGGACUGAGAAGCCUGGCACUACAGUCCAUGGGGUUGCGGAGAUUUGGACGCGACUGAGCGACUAACACCUCCACUUUCUUUCUUUCCUCACUUCCGGAAGUGGGUGGCCUCCUUUAUUCAGGGGACUCCCCUCAUCCGCUGACAUGUUGGCCAAGCUGUUUCUGUCCAGCAGCUCCCAUUCUCCUCUCCCUCUGCCUACCCAGUCUAUUUAUUAUAUUAUUAUUUUUAGGUCGGGUGGGGGCUGCACUGGAUCUGCAUUGCUGCUCAUGGGCUCUCUCUAGCUGUGAUAAGCGGGGGCUCCUCUUCGUUGCAGCGCCCAAGCUUCUCACUGCAGUGACUUCUCAUGUUGGGGAGCGCCAGCGGGUUCGGUAGUUGCAGCACGCAGGCUCGGUAUUUGUAGUCCUAGAGCAGGAGCUCAGAAGUUGCGACACGUGGCCAUGGUUGCUGGCUGGAUGUGGAAUCUUCCCAGACCAGGGGUCAAACCCGUGUGCCCUGCAUUGGCAGGUGGCUUCUUACCCACUGCGCCACCAGGGAAGUCCCUGCCUACUCAAUCUAGAAUUACAACCAUGAGGACCGAAGGCCUUACUUAAACAAUUUUGCUUGGAAAUAGACAGCUAUGCCCACCCCUCCCCAUCCUGCACUCUGCCUAUGACCAGAAAGGUGGGUAGGUGGCAUAUGUCCCCUUCAGGACCUUGGAGGACAGGACUGUGUGUCUCACCUUUGUCAUUGUGUCCCACCCUGGUCCCCCAGUGUCCAGCACACAGCCCUACUCCGAGCAGAAACUCUGUAAGGGUGUGGUGAGUGAAACUGCACAUUCCAAGCAUCAUGGUGUAAGAGGAAGGAGGUGGCCUCUGGAGCCAAGAGCGCUGCUUGUUCUGCUUCUUGGUUAUUUAUUUGUUGGGUUUUGGCUGCACUGGGUCUUCGUUGCUGCACGCGGGCUUUCUCUAGUUGCAGUGAGCCGGGACCACUUUACUUCCCGUUUGCGGGCUUCUCACUGCACUGGCUUCUCUUGCUGGGGAGCACAGGCUCUAGGUGCACAGGCUUCAGCAACUCCAGCAUCAGGCUCUGUAGUUGUGGCUCAAGGGCUUUAGAGUGCGGGCUCAGUAGUUACGGCACACGGGCUCACACAUGCCAGUUGCUCCAAGGCAUGUGGAAUCCUUACGGACCAGAGGUCGAACCCAUGUCCCCUGCAUUGGCAGGUGAAUUCUUAUCCACUGCAUCACCAGGGAAGUCCCUGUUAUGCUUCUUGAACAGUCAAUUACUGCUGCGCUUCGAUUUCCUCAUCUUUCAAAUGGAAAUAAUAAGCCAAGUUCCUAGCACAGUGUCUGGCUCAUUUUAGAUGUUCAAUCAAUGCUAGUUUGGGGGCCCUGGUUGUUCUUUGCUGGCAAUUGACUUAAGCUAGACUGUGGUCUUCAUUAAUUAAUUUUAAUGCGUUCAUUCAGCAAACUACUUCCUAUUGAGUUCUUAGGAUGUGCCAGGCACUGGAGGAGAUCCUGACCCACUGUGAGUCACCUGAAGUCAGUUCUGGAUCUAGACUUGCAGAAAUAAGAUCAUCCCAAACAAACAAACAGAGAGAUCCAAACAUAAUUCCCGUUGAGCCCUGGAAUGCAAGCCAACUCUAUAUAUGUCUCUCUCACACACACACGGCCUCAGGCCUGUGGAACAGAGGCCCCUGUGGAGUUGUUGAGUUGGCGCUACGAGCAUGUGUGUCUGUGUGCGAGUUGUAUAUGUGUGGGUGGGGAUGUGUACCCACAUGUCUGGCUGCAAGGCAGGAAAGGUGACCUAGUUGAGAGUGGGGUGGCCCAGAACUCCAGUGGAGGCUGGAGGACAGGGGUGGGAUGGAUGGUCUGGACUGUGCUUAUCUCUGUGCGUCUAUGUCCCUUUUCUAGCAAAACUGGGCACCUGUUAUUGCUGUCCAGGCACCAGGUAUCAAGGGAUGGAGCACAGACCUGAUGCCACCCCUCCCUUGUCGUUUUCUCAGAGCCCCUGGGGAGGGAGGCAGACGCAGGAGGCUACACCAAGGCUGCCCUUCUAGGCUGGCUGGUCCUUACAGGGGUUAUCUCACCUGUGUAUCCCUGCUGCUCUUGAGAAGCCACCUCUAUCGGUCCUACUGAACCUCCUCUACUAAACUUUAUGGGGUUUUUGUUUUCUUUUCUUAAUAUUCCUCCCUUAUGGGAAGUCUGCCUUGUGAUCGAACAUCAUCCUUCCUGCUGAGAGUGCAGCCAGUAUUCCCUCUGUUGGGUGUAUUGCUCAAAUACACCCAACUCAUUCAUUUCCAUCAGGGAGAAUGUAUUGGGUAAAAUUCUGUUGUAGGACACACAAAAGAAAUGGCAGGCUUGCUUUCUGACCACAGAAAGACACAGAAACUAGCCUAUCUGACCCACAGAACAUGGCCAAACAGGAAUAAAUGUGAGGGCAAAACAGCCUUUGGGACUUGGAGGCCUGCAGAGUUUGGAAGGAGAGAGGAGGCCACUCGGUCCUCCGCUGUGGACCCAGUCUCCAAGGGCUUUGCCGCCCAGCCUGAGGUUUGGACUUGGACAGACAAACUCCUCUCUGUUCCUCCUCCAGUACCACUCCGGAACUCCCCCCAGCAGGUCGCCUGCCCUCUCUGAUUUCCCCAGGGAGAGCAGCUCAGAGGGGCUGGGGCAGAGCUAGGGUCCCCCAGGACAGCUGGCGGAUAGAGCCCCACUGGGAUUCAGGGUCGGACCCAGGCGUCCCAGAGGCGGGUGAUACCGGAGCUGUGACAGUUGGUCCCCAGAUUCCUCACCCGGUGGCGCCAGCUCUGGUUUCUCAGGCUGAGGAGGGGGAGGGGCACCUGGUGCCAGGCAGGGCUGGGUGUUCUCUUGGGGCAGGGAAGGGGAGGCAGGAAACAUGUUCUUG
ensembl:lncRNA